GCGCCGGGCCCCGGCUGAGGGCCGGGGGUUCCCGCGGGCCCCCCCGGGGUGGAGAAGGGGAAAUGCCGCGGGGUGUCCCCGGGAACCGUCCCAGGCCGCAGAGGGUGGCAGGUGGAGGUGCUGGGGGUGCUCCGUGCCCCACAAAAUGUCGGGUUGGGAAAGCAGAAGGCUGCUGGCACCGUGCGUGUAGGGCUGCUGGGGGGAAAGGAUGGUAGGGACGGGGAGCGGUGCACGCACUCAGAGCAGGGCUGGGUGCCAAGCACCGUGCAGCGGGGCUGUGGCACCCCACGGGUUUGGGGUUCAGCUCCCCCGUCACGCACCCUGCACAGUGUGGUGAGGUGACACCCUGACGCGGAGGGUGGCAGUGGAGCGUGGAAGGCUUCUCUGCAGGCACUUCACAGGCCAGUGGCCCUCCUUUCUCCAUGUUACUUGUCAUUUAAGAUCUCCAAGUGAGCAGAGAACUAAAGUUGAGGCUGAAUUUGAGUCCUUACAUGCACCCGCAGUGUUUCUCAGCUCUGCGAUUCGGGGACAGCGACGUGCUGCCAUGAGAACCUCAAAGAGAGGGAGCUGGAGGACCAGUUGCUGUUCUACCUGUACAAAGGAUCGUUACAAAGGGUGGUGAAGAGGUUCAGAUGCUGAGCAGUGAGCUCAUUGACUGCAUAAAUUAAAAACUGGAAUGCUCUCAGGUGCUUCAUUUAAUAUCGCUUUGCCAAGGCUUCUGCUCUGACAGUUUCUUAAGAACGGGGAUUGCUGUUAGACUGGUCAUUCUAUGAAUCUUUUGAACAACCUGAGUCUCAACAUAAAGUAUUGAGUUCACUGCACCACACACCUAUUUUCUGGAAGAAUUUUUCAGUUUUAGAACUGCGCAAUAUAUUUUUUUCCAGUUUCUUGGCCUGAAUAGCUUGAGAGGGGCUGUGUACACGCUUUAGUUCCUGUUAUGCUCUAGAGCACCUGCACGCAGCACCAACAUGCCAGAGACAAAAGCUUGUAGAGUAUUGUGGUAGGUGCUUAAGCUCACGUCAAACUCCUUCAGUGCAAGGAAAUCUUAAAUAGUAAGGGAAUGGGGAAAAGGAGCACGAAUGUGGUUCUGCACAGGUAACAAUAGGCAGAAAAGUCAUUUGUGCUUCAAAAUGGUCAGAAGUCCUUCUAAAAUAUCACUGAAGAGAGUUCGUUGAUCCCAGUGGUGGGUGGCAAGAUCAGUAGUGUGGGUUCACUUUGAUCCUUGAUUCAUGGUUCAGUGGAGCCAUUAGUCCUAUCUGGAUUUUCAAGGUCUUUUUCCAUGGGUCCUGGAAAAGUUCCUUCUGUAAGUCUUUCUCCAGUUUGCUGACUGCACUGCACAACCCACACAACCAAAGAGAUAUUUUUAAUCUGGUCACAUUAUAUGACAUUUUAUUGCAUUAUUUUUGACCAGAGUUCUAGCACAGUAUUUUAAUUUAGUUCCAUCACUUCAAAGGAAGUUUUUCCUCCCUGUACUUGUAGCCACUGUCAAUAAAAAAUGCAGUAGGCUUUGCAUUGUAUUUCUUAAUCAUUUAGAAAAUGUCUUGGGGUAUGUAUCUGUUUUUUAAACUUUCUUUUGAUUUUGUGUAUCACAGUUUUGUUUUAUUCUAGAAAGCACAGGCUCUCACCUCUUUACAAAUAGUCCCUGGCAAAAAUUAAAGAAAAUGAUUCAGAACAGCAAGUUAAACUGUCAUGGGAAGUGUAACGUCUCUCCUUAUUCAGGGGAGUGGAUACCGAACGGUGUACUGAGGCAUUCAAAACUCUUGCACAACCUGUUGGGUUUUGGCAGGUAAAGAGGGCUGCUCUUGGGGCUCUUAGCCUAGGGCCUGAAACCAGCCAAGAUCAAAUGACACAAAUGAACCAAAUGAGGGAGGUGGAGGGAAAGCAGAAGGCAAAGUACAAGGAUGAGAUACUCUAUCUCCAUGAUUUAGAG